GCCUAACACCCUCCUCCGUGAGGGAGUGGCUAAAAUCCAAGGGUCACGAGCCCUAGGCCGUCCCCAAAGGUGGACUAAUGGCCACAGAAGAACUCUAGCCUAACACCCUCCUCCGUGAGGGAAUGGCUAAAAUCCAAGGGUCACGAGCCCUAGGCCGUCCCCAAAGGUGGACUAAUGGCCACGGAAGAACUCUAGCCUAACACCCUCCUCCGUGAGGGAGUGGCUAAAAUCCAAGGGUCACGAGCCCUAGGCCGUCCCCAAAGGUGGACUAAUGGCCACGGAAGAACUCUAGCCUAACACCCUCCUCCGUGAGGGAGUGGCUAAAAUCCAAGGGUCACGAGCCCUAGGCCAUCCCCAAAGGUGGACUAAUGGCCACGGAAGAACUCUAGCCUAACACUCUCCUCCGUGAGGGAGUGGUUAAAAUCAAAGGGUCACGAGCCCUAGGCCGUCCCCAAAUAUGGACUAAUGGCCACGGAAGAACUCUAGCCUAACACUCUCCUCCGUGAGGGAGUGGUUAAAAUCCAAGGGUCACGAGCCCUAAGCCGUCCCCAAAUGUGGACUAAUGGCCAUGGAAGAACUCUAGCCUAAUACCCUCAUCCGUGAGGGAGUGGCUAAAAUCCAAGGGUCACGAGCCCUAGGCCGUCCCCAAAGGUGGACUAAGGGCCAAGGAAAAAUUCUAGCCUAACACCCUUCUCCGCGAGAGAGUGGCUAAUAUUCAAGGGUCAAGAGCCCUAGGCUGUCCCCAAGACGAAGGUGGACUAAUGGCCGGAAGAAACUUAACACCCUCCUUUCCGUGAGAGUGGCGACAAUCCAAGGGUCAAGAGUCCUAGGCUGUCCCCAAGACGAAAGUGGACUAGUGGCCGGAAGAAACUCAACACCCUCCUUCGCGUGGGAGUGGCGACAAUCCAAGGAUCAUGAGCCCUGGACCGUUCUCGAAUUAAAGAAAUUUAGAAGGUCAGGGAAGGAAAACCACAACCGAGCACAAGCUAAAAGAAGCUCAAUAGGCGCGGUUUAGCUUGAAAAAAUCUCGAGUCACGCCUGCGAAAAAGAAGAG